rnacentral:tRNA from 1 species
GCCUCUGUAGCUCAGUUGGUUAGAGUGCUCCACCGGAAUCGCAGGGCCGUAGGUUCAAUUCCUACCAGAGGAC